GACAGAGGGUGCAAACGUUGUUCGGAAUUACUGGGCGUAAAGGGUGUGUAGGCGGUUGGAUAAGUGUGGUGUGAAAUCUCCCGGCUCAACGUGGGAGGGUGCGCUACAAACUGUCUGGCUAGAGUGUGGGAUGGGUAAGUGGAAUUCCUGGUGUAGCGGUGGAAUGCGCAGAUAUCAGGAAGACACCCGUGGCGAAGGCGGCUCUCGUGGGACGGUACUGACGCGAGACGCGAAAGCGUGGGGAGCCGAACAGG
rnacentral:rRNA from 1 species